rnacentral:rRNA from 1 species
CCCUUAGAUGCUCUGGGCCGCACGCGCGCUACACUGGUCGAUGCAACGAGUUUCUUUCCUUGGCCGACAGGCCUGGACAAUCUUUGAACAUCGAUCGUGAUCGGGAUAGAUUCUUGUAAUUUUUGAUCUUAAACGAGGAAUUCCUAGUAAACGCAAGUCAUCAGCUUGCAUUGAUUACGUCCCUGCCCUUUGUACACACCGCCCGUCGCACCUACCGAUUGAAUGGUCCGGUGAAAUCUCCGGACUGGCGUGAGUCGGAGCAAUCUGACAAACGCCGGAAAGUUGAUUAAACCUUACCAUUUAGAGGAAGGUGAAGUCGUAACA